UACAGGGGGGGCAAGCGUUGUUCGGAAUUACUGGGCGUAAAGGGUCUGUAGGUGGCCAACUAAGUCAGACGUGAAAUCCCUCAGCUUAACUGGGGAACUGCGUCUGAUACUGGAUGGCUUGAGUGUGGGAGAGGAAUGCGGAAUUCCAGGUGUAGCGGUGAAAUGCGUAGAUAUCUGGAGGAACACCGGUGGCGAAGGCGGCAUCCUGGACCGAUACUGACGCUGAGGAGCGAAAGCCAGGGAGCAAACGGG
rnacentral:rRNA from 1 species